rnacentral:rRNA from 1 species
UAGGGAAUCUUCCACAAUGGGCGCAAGCCUGAUGGAGCAACACCGCGUGAGUGAAGAAGGGUUUCGGCUCGUAAAGCUCUGUUGUUAAAGAAGAACACGUAUGAGAGUAACUGUUCAUACGUUGACGGUAUUUAACCAGAAAGUCACGGCUAACUACGUGCCUG